UGGGGAAUUUUGGACAAUGGGGGAAACCCUGAUCCAGCCAUCCCGCGUGUGCGAUGAAGGCCUUCGGGUUGUAAAGCACUUUUUGCAGGAAAGAAACGUCAUGGGUUAAUACCCCGUGAAACUGACGGUACCUGCAGAAUAAGCUCCGGCUAACUACGUGCCAGCAGCCGCGGUAAUACGUAGGGUGCAAGCGUUAAUCGGAAUUACUGGGCGUAAAGCGUGCGCAGGCGGUUCGGAAAGAAAGAUGUGAAAUCCCAGAGCUCAACUUUGGAGCUGCAUUUUUAACUACCGGGCUAGAGGGGGUCAGAGGGAGGGGGAAUUCCGCGUGUAGCAGUGAAAUGCGUAGUUAUGCGGAGGAACACCGAUGGCGAAGGCAGCCUCCUGGGAUAACACUGACGCGCAUGCACGAAAGCGUGGGGAGAAAACAGG
rnacentral:rRNA from 1 species